GAUGCCAGUGGCCAUGCUGUGAGGUCACUGAGGAAGCCUCUGGAGGAGGCAGCCCACACGAGGAGGAACGAGGCCUCCCACCAACAGCCACGUGGGCACACCAUCUUGGAUGUGGUUCCUCUAGCCUCAGUCAAGCCUUCAGAUGCCUGCAACCCCUGCCAGCAUCCUCACUGCAACUUGAUGAGUGAUCACCCAGCUAAGCCACUGCUGGAUUUGUAACCCACAGAAACUGGGAGGGCAUCGCAUGGCCUCGACGGGGAUUACCCAUAGGAGAGAUGAGUUUUGCUGAGAACGCCUGAGUGAGCAUGGAGCAGAGCUCCGUGAGCACCUGCACCCAGCUGGGAGAAACCAGGAGCUCAUGAAGUGUCUGAGACAUUGGGUUAAAGCACACACAUUUAAAGAGACGAGGAAAAGAAAAGAGACGCAGCGUUCUCGUUCUCCUUCUCAGGAUUACGAAAGAGGCGACUGGGUUGGCACCCUAGGGAGGUUCCCACAUGCACUGCAGUGCCUGAGGCAGGCCAGUCUCACAGGAGCCUCUUAGGGAUCAACGAAAUGUGGUCUGCCUGUACUGUGGCAGAUUACUAGGACAUAAAAGGAAUGAAGUACUGAUCCAUGCUACAAUGUGGAUGAACCUUGGUAACACUGUGCUGAGCGAAAGCAGCCAAUCACAAAAGGCCACAUAUCGUAUGAUCCAAUUAUACAAAAUGUCCAGAACAGGGAAACCCAGGAAAGAAAGCAGAGAGGUGGGUGCCAGGAGCUGGGGGAGGCAGGAACAGAGAGUGACUGCUAAUUGG
rnacentral:lncRNA from 1 species